GGGAAGGUGGCUCAGUGGUAGAGCGCUUGCCUUGCAUGCAAGAGGCCCUGGGUUCAAUUCCUCAACCCCA
rfam:Dipodomys ordii contig_16581, whole genome shotgun sequence.